UCCUCACAUCACGCGGUCCCCCAAUUCCCCAUUCUAUUCGCGUCGUGAGAUAACGACGAGCAGGGGCGGCGCCACUUCGCCGCUACUUCACGCCGGAUUCAUGGCGGGUAGCCGUUGCGUGAGGCCGACCACUCGCGGGCACUACCGGUGAGUCCCCAGCCCGCCCGCCCACGCCGGUCCUCCCCAUCUGGCCCCUAAAAGUUCGCCAUGACAUUCCUAGCCGGUCGCCGUCGAUGCUUUUGAUGCCGCCAUGCGUGCAGGUGCUGGCCUGGGUGGUGCCGCUGGCACUUACGAUCCUGCCGUGAGCCGGCUUAUGGGGCAGGUUCCCAGCGGAGUCCACGGCAACAGCGCCGGCGGCCCCAACCAGGCCAGCACCUGCAAGCUCCCGUGGAGUCCAUGGAGGCGAACUCCAGCUCCCUGGGGACGGACCUGCACCGCACCCCUUUUCGCUGCUCGCCGUGCUGGUGCUCCACGCCGGCGUCAGGUGCCUGCUCCGCCGCCACCAGUGGAAGAGGGGAAGUGAGCAGAGGUGUGGUGCUCGCCAACAGAGGAGCAGAGAACAGAGGCGUCAGGUUUUUCUCAAGAACUGGUGUAUGAGUUGUAGUCUAACACAUUUGGCUGUGUUGUCUGAAUGUUCACAAAUAUAUGCGGGAAGCAGUGGCGAGAAGGAUAGGGCGAUAGGCAAGGGGACUUGUUGGCUGCUUUGAGAAGGAGAUGCAAGGAACCAGAAGCGGGAACCGGCACAGCGACACCAUGUUCGUUCAUCUUCAUAAGGAAGUUGCCUACAAUAUAUCUUUUGCCAUAUGAUUUGCGGCAACCAGCAAGUGGAUGGAGGAGAGAGGCGUCGGAGUGCCGGCGACCAGCAAGCGAAGCAAUAGCAAUGGCCAAGGGGGCAGCGCCAUCCGUGCGUCACGACCACCUAGCAGGAGGAGCUGGAUCCCGGAAAGCAUUGUCGUCAGUGGUCAAGGAAUGGGCUGCAAAGCGCCCAUUAGUAUCUCGAAAUCGCCCCCCUAGGCAUGUGUUUUUCUAUUCAAAUAUCUGAUUCUAUGCAAUAAAGGCGGGAUAGAGAGGUUGAUGA